GGUUGCGAUCAUACCAGCACUAAUGCACCGGAUCCCAUCAGAACUCCGCAGUUAAGCGUGCUUGGGCGAGAGUAGUACUAAGAUGGGUGACCCCCCUGGAAGUCCUCGUGUUGCAACCC
rnacentral:rRNA from 1 species